GACGAACGCUGGCGGCGUGCUUAACACAUGCAAGUCGAACGGUGAAGGCGGAGCUUGCUCUGCCGGAUCAGUGGCGAACGGGUGAGUAACACGUGGGCAACCUGCCCCUCACUUCGGGAUAACUCCGGGAAACCGGGGCUAAUACCGGAUACGACCUCCUUGGGCAUCUUUGGAGGUGGAAAGUUUUUCGGUGAGGGAUGGGCCCGCGGCCUAUCAGGUUGUUGGUGAGGUAGUGGCUCACCAAGGCGACGACGGGUAGCCGGCCUGAGAGGGCGACCGGCCACACUGGGACUGAGACACGGCCCAGACUCCUACGGGAGGCAGCAGUGGGGAAUAUUGCGCAAUGGGCGAAAGCCUGGCGCAGCAACGCCGCGUGCGGGAUGAAGGCCUUCGGGUUGUAAACCGCUUUCAGCAGGGAAGAAGCCGCAAGGUGACGGUACCUGCAGAAGAAGCACCGGCUAACUACGUGCCAGCAGCCGCGGUAA
rnacentral:rRNA from 1 species